rnacentral:rRNA from 1 species
CGUGCAGGAAGAAGGCUUCGGGUUGUAACUGCUUUUGUACGGAACGAAACGGUCUGGGUUAAUACCCUGGGCUAAUGACGGUACCGUAAGAAUAAGCACCGGCUAACUACGUGCCAGCAGCCGCGGUAAUACGUAGGGUGCAAGCGUUAAUCGGAAUUACUGGGCGUAAAGCGUGCGCAGGCGGUUUUGUAAGACAGUCGUGAAAUCCCCGGGCUCAACCUGGGAAUUGCGAUUGUGACUGCAAAGCUGGAGUGCGGCAGAGGGGGAUGGAAUUCCGCGUGUAGCAGUGAAAUGCGUAGAUAUGCGGAGGAACACCGAUGGCGAAGCAAUCCCCUGGGCCUGCACUGACGCUCAUGCACGAAAGCGUGGGGACAAACAGGAUUAAUACCCUGGUAGUCCACGCCCUAAACGAUGUCAACUGGUUGNUGGGUCUCUUCUGA